rnacentral:lncRNA from 1 species
GUUUGAGGAAGGCCCAGGAGCGAGCCCAUGGUCUUCCGACGCGGGGCCAGGGGCGGGCCCCAGGAUCCGGAGCUUCGGGGGGGCCGAGUCCGGGUUUGGGGCCCGGGAGGCGGGGCCAGUUAGGUCGAGGGUCCCUGGGAUCGUCGGGUCAGGCCUUGGGCUAACGUAGGCACUCUCGCAGUUCCUCCGCCUUCAGGAAGGUCUUUUUAGCAGGGGCCUUACGGGUGCAUGCUUCGGUCCUGGAGGACUUAGGCUAGCCUCCUCUCCAUCAGCGCCACCCGUCUGGGGCCCGAAAGGAGGGAGCUUUCCCUCUGUCCCCCAGCCUUUGGACUGUCACCAAACAAGCCAUUCGUUCACCAAAUACUUUUUAAGCGCCUACCAUGUGCCUGACAAGGGAUAUGUAACGGUGAGAAAAACUAGGUGUGGUCCAGGCCCUUCAGGGACUCAGGGGCUCGUGGAAGAAGUGGAUAUUGAAGUACUUAUCACACAAAGGAGGAUAAAAGUACGAUAGCGAUAUCUACCACGAAGCUGUUGUUCCACACCAGAACCAAAUGAGCGCAAGAUCUGACAAAAAAAAAAGUCCCUGUAUCCUGAGAUGGAGUCACCUGAGAAUCCACAGCAAGUCCUAACCAGGGAUGGGUCUGGGUGAUUAAGGAAGAUUGGCUUCAGAACUGGGCCAGGGGCACUGCUUUGCUUUUGCUGUUUUGAUCAGCUCUCUGCCUGCAGGAGACGAGGAAAACCAAUGGGAACAGGUUAGUUAUACUCAUAAAUCCUGGGCUUAUUUUAUUAACUCACAUAAUAGCUAUUAAUUGUCUUUCCUCCAAGGAGCAAAAGGGCAUAUACGGUCAAUGUCAUAGUAAGUAACACUGUAUUAUGUUACACUAAAAUAUUAAUCUAGGUUGGUUCAGUCUUUCUUGAGUCCACAGAUUGGAAGCAGAUUGAGGAAGGACGCUAGCAGACCAUAGAGCUGAGCCAUGC